rnacentral:rRNA from 1 species
AGAGUUUGAUCCUGGCUCAGGAUGAACGCUAGCGGCAGGCCUAAUACAUGCAAGUCGGACGGGAUAGGAGAGCUUGCUUUCCUUGAGAGUGGCGCACGGGUGCGUAACACGUAUGUAACCUACCUUGAUCAGGGGGAUAGCCUCUCGAAAGAGAGAUUAAGACCGCAUAACAUUGCAAUAUGGCAUCAUAAAGCAAUCAAAUAUUUAUAGGAUCAAGAUGGGCAUGCGGAACAUUAGCUAGUUGGUAAGGUAACGGCUUACCAAGGCUACGAUGUUUAGGGGAUCUGAGAGGAUGACCCCCCACACUGGUACUGAGACACGGACCAGACUCCUACGGGAGGCAGCAGUAAGGAAUAUUGGUCAAUGGGCGGAAGCCUGAACCAGCCAUGCCGCGUGCAGGAAGACGGCCCUACGGGUUGUAAACUGCUUUUGUACGGGAAUAAACCUUGAUUCGUGAAUCAAGCUGAAUGUACUGUAAGAAUAAGGAUCGGCUAACUCCGUGCCAGCAGCCGCGGUAAUACGGAGGAUCCAAGCGUUAUCCGGAUUUAUUGGGUUUAAAGGGUGCGUAGGUGGCUUAUUAAGUCAGGGGUGAAAGACGGUAGCUUAACUAUCGCAGUGCCUUUGAUACUGAUGAGCUUGAAUGAACUAGAGGUAGGCGGAAUGUGACAAGUAGCGGUGAAAUGCAUAGAUAUGUCACAGA